GCAGAAUGUGCUUCCUGGUCUGCUGCUUGUUUAUACCAACUUCCAAGGAUCUAUUUUCACAUCAGUGCUAAUACCAGAUGAAUCCUGAGCUUUAGCAACCCAGAAUUCUGGCACAACAAUUGGACAAGAAACGUCACUACAGGAAAAGACCCUUCCCAAGGAAGUUCUGGUGAAGGCAGUGAGUCUGAAGGUUUCUGGGUUCUGUGGAAGAGGGAAAACAUAGAUCUUGCAUCUCUGCAGAAUAUCAUCAAUUUAAAAGAUGCAAAUUAAGGGAGGAGAAAACAGCAGAAUGGAC
rnacentral:lncRNA from 1 species